rnacentral:rRNA from 1 species
UACAGAGGUGGCAAGCGUUGUUCGGAAUUACUGGGCGUAAAGGGCGCGUAGGCGGCUUUUUAAGUCAGACGUGAAAUCCCCCGGCUUAACCUGGGAACUGCGUCUGAUACUGGGAAGCUCGAGUUCGGGAGAGGGAUGUAGAAUUCCAGGUGUAGCGGUGAAAUGCGUAGAUAUCUGGAGGAAUACCGGUGGCGAAGGCGGCAUCCUGGACCGAAACUGACGCUGAGGCGCGAAAGCUAGGGGAGCAAACGGG